rnacentral:lncRNA from 1 species
CCAUACUACCCCAUAUGGCCGUGCUGCCCCAUAUGGCCGUGCUGCCCCAUAUGUCCGUGUCCCCACUCACCAGCGUGAAGCCAUCAUAGAUGCUCAUCAGCUCCUAUAGAGCCAUGCUGCCCCAUAUGGCCAUGCUAUCCCCAUAUGGCCAUGCUGUCCCUAUAGAGCCAUACUGCCCCAUAUACCCAUACUGCCCCAUAUGUCCGUGCUGCCCCAUAUGUCGGUGCCCCCACUCACCAGCGUGAAUCCAUCAUAGAUGCUCAUCAGCUCCUCUAUGGCCAUGCUGUCCCUAUAUGGCCGUACUGCCCCAUAUGGCCGUGCUGCCCCAUAUGGCCAUGCUGUCCCUAUAUGGCCAUACUGUCCCUAUAGAACCAUACUGCCCCAUAUGGCCGUGCUGCCCCAUAUGGCCAUACUGCCCCAUAUACCCAUACUGCCCCAUAUACCCAUACUGCCCCAUAUGGCCAUACUACCCCAUAUGGCCAUGCUGUCCCCAUAUGGCCAUGCUGUCCCCAUAUGUCCGUGCUGCCCCAUAUGUCUGUGCCCCACUCACCAGCAUGAAGCCAUCAUAGAUGCUCAUCAGCUCCUAUACAUCUAUGCUAUCCCUAUAUGGCUGUACUGCCCCAUAUGGCCAUGCUGUCCCUAUAGAGCCAUACUGUCCCUAUAGAGCCAUACUGCCCCAUAUGGCCGUGCUGCCCCAUAU